UUGCUCCUUUGACGUUAGCGGCGGACGGGUGAGUAACACGUGGGCAACCUACCUUAUAGUUUGGGAUAACUCCGGGAAACCGGGGCUAAUACCGAAUAAUCUGUUUCACCUCAUGGUGAAAUAUUGAAAGACGGUUUCGGCUGUCGCUAUAGGAUGGGCCCGCGGCGCAUUAGCUAGUUGGUGAGGUAACGGCUCACCAAGGCGACGAUGCGUAACCGACCUGAGAGGGUGAUCGGCCACACUGGGACUGAGACACGGCCCACACUCCUACGGGAGGCAGCAGUAGGGAAUCUUCCACAAUGGGCGAAAGCCUGAUGGAGCAACGCCGCGUGAGUGAAGAAGGAUUUCGGUUCGUAAAACUCUGUUGUAAGGAAAGAACAAGUACAGUACUAACUGGCUGUACCUUGACGGUACCUUAUUAGAAAGCCACGGCUAACUACGUGCCAGCAGCCGCGGUAAUACGUAGGUGGCAAGCGUUGUCCGGAAUUAUUGGGCGUAAAGCGCGCGCAGGUGGUUUCUUAAGUCUGAUGUGAAAGCCCACGGCUCAACCGUGGAGGGUCAUUGGAAACUGGGAUACUUGAGUGCAAAAAAGGAUAGUGUAAUUCCAAGUGUAGCGGUGAAAUGCAUAUAGAUUUGAAGGAACACCAGUGGCGAAAGCGACUAUCUGGUCUGUAACUGACACUGACGCGCGAAAGCGUGGGGAGCAAACAGGAUUACAUACCCUGGUAGUCCACGCCGUAAACAAUGAGUGCUAAGUGUUAGGGGGUUUCCGCCCCUUAGUGCUGCAACUAACGCAUUAAGCACUCCGCCUGGGGAGUACGGUCGCAAGACUGAAACUCAAAGGAAUUGACGGGG
rnacentral:rRNA from 1 species